UGGGGAAUCUUGGACAAUGGGCGCAAGCCUGAUCCAGCCAUGCCGCGUGAGUGAUGAAGGCCUUAGGGUUGUAAAGCUCUUUUGGCGGGGACGAUAAUGACGGUACCCGCAGAAUAAGUCCCGGCUAACUUCGUGCCAGCAGCCGCGGUAAUACGAAGGGGACUAGCGUUGUUCGGAAUCACUGGGCGUAAAGCGCACGUAGGCGGAUUUGUAAGUCAGGGGUGAAAUCCCGGGGCUCAACCUCGGAACUGCCUUUGAUACUGCGGAUCUCGAGUCCGAUAGAGGUGGGUGGAAUUCCUAGUGUAGAGGUGAAAUUCGUAGAUAUUAGGAAGAACACCGGUGGCGAAGGCGGCCCACUGGAUCGGUACUGACGCUGAGGUGCGAAAGCGUGGGGAGCAAACAGGAUUAGAUACCCAAGUAGUCCCUGAGCGGGCUGGCAAGGCGCAU
rnacentral:rRNA from 1 species